UACGAAGGGGGCUAGCGUUGCUCGGCAUCACUGGGCGUAAAGCGCACGUAGGCGGAUUGCUAAGUCAGGGGUGAAAUCCUGGAGCUCAACUCCAGAACUGCCUUUGAUACUGGCGAUCUCGAGUCCGGGAGAGGUGAGUGGAACUGCGAGUGUAGAGGUGAAAUUCGUAGAUAUUCGCAAGAACACCAGUGGCGAAGGCGGCUCACUGGCCCGGUACUGACGCUGAGGUGCGAAAGCGUGGGGAGCAAACAGG
rnacentral:rRNA from 1 species